GUUAACAAUGGGGUGUACACUGAUGGGUACACCCCAUCUAAGAUCUCAGCGAGUUCCAGCUCUUUAACACAACAAUCAGGAGAUGUCUGCUCUCUUACCCUAAGCACCUCCCCCCAACUCCUCUAACCUCCCCUCUAGGAUCGCAGGCCUGGAGUCCGUGGGUCUGCUUCUGAAUCGCAGCUCAAGGCUCCUUUGUGAGGUCAAGCCUUCCGGAAGCCUUCCCCUUGACCACCACGGACUGUUACACCCUCCUCCUGCCAUUUAGCUCUCAGCCAGUGUGUGCUCCUUGAUAUCAACUCCACUUUAGGCUACAAUGAAGUUACAGAGACUGGAUUUAUCUUCUCACCUGAAAUAAUGAAAAAGUAAAUUAAAUUAGAGAGUGGAAAACACCUUUAAGAUACCGCUAAAGAAAACAGACAUCGGGUGUAACUGUCUGUCUCUGAGCGGUUUCCUGAGAGACAGGGAAGCCUGGGGACUGAUCUCAGGGACAGCUCUGGCUUCCUGUCUAUAGAGACUUUCUAGAACAUGACACAGAGUAGAAACCAAAAGGAAGCCUGAAAUGCCCUGAGUUGAGGAGAAAAGAUGGUGUCCCGGGGGCAAACCACAGUCAGAAUUGCAACCAAUGCAGGAAGACCUGGAGGCUCAGCAGGCUCUCAGAGUGUCAGUUUGCACAGUGAGGAGACCAGACAUGGACCUUGCCUCUGGGAGCUUGCUGACAUGGCACAGCAGAGCGGUAACCUGUUGGAUGUGGUGUGAGAGGCAUGGCGUUUGAAAACAGCCCAGAGAAGAGACGUGGCGAGGGCAAGAGAGGGGACUUCCAAAGCAAGUGGCUACAUCAGAGCUCUGCUGUUCAUUAAAGAUCAAGCUGCCAAUAUGAGUGUGCUCGGAUUAGCCCUUCCUGUAACGGCACCAACGCCAGUGUUUGCAUUCCUCCCAACUGAAAAUUUGUCAGAGAAGAAAGGCAUUAAACCUGUCACUGCAGAUAAAGAUCAGACAUCUGAUUUCAAACAGAAGAGGCAAGCACCCUACCUCGGGCUCUACUGACUCUGGAGUAUACUGUUCGACGUCAAGGGGAGAACUAGACCAGAUUGGGAUGGGGAAAUAAAUCCAAGUCUCACCGCCACUUCUGUAGGUACAGAGGAUAUUGGACUUUGAACAGAAAUCCAGAGCAGAGGAGAACAAACAGCAAGCCCUUCUCAUCUUCCUCUGAACACGGUUCACAGAAUGAGAGCAGCUAGACAAGUCACAACCGUUUGCAGAAAAGCAAAAGCUUGGGAAGAUACAUUGAGAAAACGUUUGGACACUUAAAAAUUUACAGCAUCUCCCGAUGCCUACAUAUAACCUUUGGAAGCUGGCACCGUGCUGUGGCUGGGGAGAAGGCGUGGCCUUAAAGGGCUUGCCUCACAAGCAUGAGGACCUGAGUUCAGUCCUCAGCACCCAUGCUAAUAAAUAAAUAAAUAAAUAAAACAGGCACAGUGGCACGCUUGUAACCACACCACUGGGGAAGAGGGCAGGCAAGGACAGGAGGGUCUCUGUAACUCAGGAGCCUGGCAGCCUGGCUGAUUUUAAACUUCCAGGUCAGUGAGAGACCCUGUCAGGAAAAAAGCAAGAUCAGUGGUGCCCAAGCAACAACAUCUGAAGGUGUCCUCUGACACCCACAUUCAUGCACAGAUGCAAGUGCACACACAGAGAUACGUGUACUGACACCCACACUCAUGCACAGAUACAAGCGCACACAGAGAUACUUGUACUGACACCCACACUCAUGCACAGAUGCAAGCGCACACAGAGAUAUGUGUACUGACACCCACACUCAUGCACAGAUGCAAGCGCACACACAGAUAUGUGUACUUACACCCACACUCAUGCACAGAUACAAGCGCACAUACAGAGAUACGUGUACUGACACCCACACUCAUGCACAGAUACAAGCACACACAGAGAUAUGUGUACUGACACCCACACUCAUGCACAGAUACAAGUGCACACACACAGAUACAUGUACUUACACCCACACUCAUGCACAGAUACAAGCACACACACAGAGAUACGUGUACUUACACAUAAAAGGAGCUAGCUCCACACUGAUAAAUAAAAUGGAGACUGUCAAAAACCUUCCUCCUGCUGUCAGAGCCCUCUCCCGUGA